rnacentral:ncRNA from 1 species
AAAAAGUUUUAUUCUAGCUUAAUAAUUUAUUAUAAUUUUUAAAUACAUGUAAAUUAAUGUGAGAUUUAUUUAAUUAUUUAAAAUAAUUAAAAUUAUUUUUUAUUCGCAGUAUAUAAAAUUAUAAAUUAUAGAAAUAUAGAUUUAGAAAUAAUUGAUUUUAUUAGCAAAAAUUGUGCCAGCAGCUGCGGUUAUACAGUUAAUAAAAAUAAAUUUUAUAAGUUAAUAGUUAAAUUAAUUAUAUUUAAUAAUUAUAAAUAUAUUAUUUUAAGGUUAAAUUUAUUUAAUAUAAAAAUAUUAUUAUAUAAUAUUGAAGCUAUAAAAAUUAAAAUAUAAACUAGGAUUAGAUACCCUAUUAUUUUAAUUAAUAAAAAAUACUAAAGUAGUAAUAGAUAUAGGCUUGAAACUUAAAGAAUUUGGCGGUAUUUUAAUCUUUUUAGAGGAAACCUGUUCUGUAAUCGAUAUUCCACGUUUAAUUUUACUAAGCUUUAUUAUUUGUAUAUCGUUGUCGAAAGAAUAUUUUUAAAAAAUAAUAAUUUUCUAAAAUUUUUAUUAAAAUUUAUGUCAAAUCAAGAUGCAGUUUAUAGUUUAGUAGAAAUGGGUUACAAUAAAAAUAUUUAUAUGGAUUUAAUUUUGAAAAAAAAUUAAUGAAGGUGGAUUUAAAAGUAAAUUAAAUUUAAUAAAUUUAAUUGAUGAAAGUUCUAAAAUAUGUACAUAUUGCCCGUCGCUCUUUUUAAUUUUUAAAAAAAGAUAAGUCGUAACAUAGUAGAUGUACUGGAAAGUGUAUCUAGAAAGA